GAUGUUUAUUUUUCAGAUUUUCUAUGAUGUUUAUUUUUCAGAUUUUCUAUGACUUGCAGAAUGAUGCUUCCGUUUUCAGUUUCUCCGUUUGAUGUGUUACCUGAAUUCUCGGUCUCCGUAUGGUCAUCACCAUUGAAAGCGCAUCAGUGGGGCGGCGCGAGCCUCACCAUUGGUGUAUUACCUGAAUUCCCAGUCUCCGUUUGUCCUUUGAAAACGAUAUGCUUGUGCCGGGUCUCUGAAUAUUAUAAAAACAAUUUAAUAAAUAGAUUCGAUUCUGUUGGUAGGGAGGAGGA
rnacentral:lncRNA from 1 species